rnacentral:rRNA from 2 species
AUGGCUGUUCGCCAUUUAAAGUGGUACGCGAGCUGGGUUUAGAACGUCGUGAGACAGUUCGGUCCCUAUCUGCCGUGGGCGCUGGAGAACUGAGGGGGGCUGCUCCUAGUACGAGAGGACCGGAGUGGACGCAUCACUGGUGUUCGGGUUGUCAUGCCAAUGGCACUGCCCGGUAGCUAAAUGCGGAAGAGAUAAGUGCUGAAAGCAUCUAAGCACGAAACUUGCCCCGAGAUGAGUUCUCCCUGAGACUUUAGGUCUCCUGAAGGAACGUUGAAGACGACGACGUUGAUAGGCCGGGUGUGUAAGCGCAGCGAUGCGUUGAGCUAACCGGUACUAAUGAACCGUGAGGCUUAACCUUACAACGCCGAAG